rnacentral:misc_RNA from 1 species
CGACAUAUUAAAGUCAUACACUAUCGUCGAGCAUCGUUAGUCCUCUAUUUGAACACGGAGAUUCGCGCUGAAUACGAUCGCGGGGAAAUUAAACGGAAACGUGUGACACGUCGGACUAGACUAGACAAUGGAGUAGCGAAAAAAUUGGGGACUGUAGAGGAAAAACACCAAAAGUCACAUUUCUUCUUUUUACAGAAAAGCAGUUUUAAGAUUUGCCAUGUUGUCAAUUUAUUUCAUAUUACCAAAAUUGCCUUUGUAUUUGGUUUUCAGACUAAACUUUUUCCCGUCAUGACGUUAUUGUUUUCAUUUAACGGUAAUAUAAACAUUACUUAUUAUAUUUUAUCAUCAAAAUGUUUAUCUUCCACGAAACAGUAUUCCACAAUUCAAUUUAUCAGCUAUCUUCAAGAAUAAUGUACAUCUCAGGACCUAUCUAUUCUUUUCAAUUAUAUUAUAUUAAAAUCUU